rnacentral:rRNA from 1 species
UACGUAGGGUGCAAGCGUUAAUCGGAAUUACUGGGCGUAAAGCGUGCGCAGGCGGUUGUGCAAGACAGAUGUGAAAUCCCCGGGCUCAACCCUGGGAAUUGCAUUUGUGACUGCACGGCUAGAGUGUGUCAGAGGGGGGUAGAAUCCACGUGUAGCAGUGAAAUGCGUAGAGAUGUGGGAGGAAUACCGAUGGCGAAGGCAGCCCCCUGGGAUAACACUGACGCUCAUGCACGAAAGCGUGGGGAGCAAACAGG